rnacentral:tRNA from 1 species
GGCAAUGUGGUGUAAUGGUUUGAGCACUGGACUAGGACUCUGGAGACCAGGGUUCGAAUCUCCACUCAGCCA